rnacentral:rRNA from 1 species
AUUGAACGCUGGCGGCCUGCCUUACACAUGCAAGUCGAACGGCAGCACGGGAGCAAUCCUGGUGGCGAGUGGCGAACGGGUGAGUAAUAUAUCGGAACGUGCCCAGUCGUGGGGGAUAACGUAGCGAAAGCUACGCUAAUACCGCAUAAGAUCUAUGGCUGAAAGCGGGGGAUCGCAAGACCUCGCGCGAUUGGAGCGGCCGAUAGCAGAUUAGGUAGGUGGUGAGGUAAAGGCUCACCAAGCCGACGAUCUGUAGCUGGUCUGAGAGGACGACCAUCGACACGGGGUCUGAGACACGGCCCAGACUCCUACGGGAGGCAGCAGUGGGGAAUUUUGGACAAUGGGCGCAAGCCUGAUCCAGCAAUGCCGCGUGCAGGAUGAAGGCCGUCGGGUUGUAAAGCUCUGUUUGGUGGGAAGAAGUUUCAGUGACUAAUAAUUAUUGAAGUUGACCGUACUGCCAGAGAAAGCCUCGGCUAACUACGUGCCAGCCGCCGCAGUAACAC